rnacentral:ncRNA from 1 species
ACAGUACAAACUGAGCAGACCGUGUAUAUCAUGGAGUCGGGUCACAAAUGUGACAGUGGAAUUAUAAUCCACGGGACAGU